GAUGAACGCUGGCGGCGUGCUUAACACAUGCAAGUCGAACGGAAAGGCUCCUGCUUGCAGGGGUACUCGAGUGGCGAACGGGUGAGUAACACGUGGGUGAUCUGCCCUGCACUUCGGGAUAAGCCUGGGAAACUGGGUCUAAUACCGGAUAGGACGAUGGUUCUGAUGCCAUUGUGGACAGCUUUUCGUUGUGGGGUUGGCUCGCGGCCUAUCAGCCUGUUGGUGGGGUAAUGGCUUACCAAGGCGUCGACGGGUAGCCGGCCUGAGAGGGUGUACGGCCACAUUGGGACUGAGAUACGGCCCAGACUCGUACGGGAGGCAGCGGUGGGGAGUAUUGCACAAUGGGCGGAAGCCUGAUGCAGCGACGCCGCGUGGGGGAUGACGGCCUUCGGGUUGUGAACUCCUUUCGCUAGGGACGAAGCGCAAGUGACGGUACCUGGAGAAGAAGCCCCGGCUAACUACGUG
rnacentral:rRNA from 1 species